GGUGCUAUGAGCUACAGCAUAUGAAUAGUGAUGACACUGUGGACUAUGAAACAGAUCUGAUCUGCUCUUUCAUUUAGAUCUCUGGAGGAGGGAGGGUUUAAAGCUUUGUCAUCUGAUGUGAUCUUGAUAAGUGUCUGUAAGAGAAGUCUGUUCAACAGAACAUAAGGAACAAACACAAUGAUGCUCCAUUCUUUUAUUCUGCUUUCUGCAUUUGUAUAUGCAACAUAUGGAAAUGAAAUUAAACCAACCAAAACAGAGGAGUUCACUGUCGAGGGUUCAGGUGUUACAUUAUCCUGCAGUUAUUCAUCUGCAUAUUAUCUUCACUGGUACCGUCAGUAUCCCGGAUCAGCUCCUCAAUUCCUUGUGCUCAUCUCAGACGGUGCAAAAAAACCUGCAGAGUCUUAUGUAGAUUCCAGAUUCACUACUGAAAUCAGAAAAGAAAAAGAAAACCAUGUGUAUCUGAACAUCUCCUCUGCUGCAGUAUCAGACUCUGCUCUGUAUUACUGUGCUCUGGAGCCCACAGUCACAGGAAACACAAGAUCACUGUACAAAAACCUGCUUCUGCUCAGAGUGAGGAAUCAAUGGUCUACUACAGUUUGGGAGAAACGAGACUCUUGAAUCUUGAAUUAUACCCAGAUCCCCUCCAGUAUGCCAAGUAGCAUCUUGUUGAUUCAAAUAAGCCACAUGCCACAAAUCUGAGCAUUUUUUAAAUACAUUAUUAUAAGAUAAAAGUGUUUGUCUAAAACUUGGCACAAAUC